GUCAAAGGCUGGUCCCCAGGCCCAGGUCCCAAUUUAUUCAGUCUUUCAGCUGACUCCAUACGAGCAACACCUAAAACUAAAAGCCAAAAACUGGCAGUCCCUUUGGCGGCCGAAAAUUCAAUAGGCGGAAUUUUCGGAAGAGGCCAGGGGACCAGUGAUACACACACUCUACACACUCAAAAGUGUGGGGACACUUAACACAUACACUGGGCGCUUCUACAUCCCCACGGGGACUCUCGCCGGCGGCUUCGAGAUUUGGAUCUUUAAAAGAAGGUUAGGGGACAUUUGACUUUUACACUGCACAUUUCUACAGACCUACGCGCUUUCUCGUCGGCGGCUUCUUAAAGAGCGAUUUCAAAAGAAGGUUAGGGCUCUUAACGAUUCAGUGGAAACUUC